rnacentral:rRNA from 1 species
ACGAACGCUGGCGGCGUGCUUAACCCAUGCAAGUCGAACCGAAAGGCCCUGCUUUUGUGGGGUGCUCGAGUGGCGAACGGGUGAGUAACACGUGAGUAACCUGCCCUUGACUUUGGGAUAACUUCAGGAAACUGGGGCUAAUACCGGAUAGGAGCUCCUGCCGCAUGGUGGGGGUUGGAAAGUUUCGGCGGUUGGGGAUGGACUCGCGGCUUAUCAGCUUGUUGGUGGGGUAGUGGCUUACCAAGGCUUUGACGGGUAGCCGGCCUGAGAGGGUGACCGGCCACAUUGGGACUGAGAUACGGCCCAGACUCCUACGGGAGGCAGCAGUGGGGAAUAUUGCACAAUGGGCGGAAGCCUGAUGCAGCAACGCCGCGUGCGGGAUGACGGCCUUCGGGUUGUAAACCGCUUUCGCCUGUGACGAAGCGUGAGUGACGGUAAUGGGUAAAGAAGCACCGGCUAACUACGUG